rnacentral:rRNA from 1 species
UACGGGGGGGGCAAGCGUUGUUCGGAAUUACUGGGCGUAAAGGGCUCGUAGGCGGCCAACUAAGUCAUACGUGAAAUCCCUCGGCUUAACCGGGGAACUGCGUCUGAUACUGGAUGGCUUGAGUUCGGGAGAGGGAUGCGGAAUUCCAGGUGUAGCGGUGAAAUGCGUAGAUAUGCGGAGGAACACCGAUGGCGAAGGCAAUCCCCUGGACCUGUACUGACGCUCAUGCACGAA